AUAUAUCUAUUGGACAGACCGAGGGCAGAUUUGGUCUGCUGCGGUUUCACCACAAAUGUAAGGAAAAAGUGUUCUCCCACCUCCUGUCUGUUUGUGGCAGCCAAGACUGAGUAGAAGAAUACAGGG
rnacentral:snoRNA from 1 species